rnacentral:rRNA from 1 species
GAUGAACGCUGGCGGCGUGCCUAAUACAUGCAAGUCGAGCGAACAGAUGAGGAGCUUGCUCCUCUGACGUUAGCGGCGGACGGGUGAGUAACACGUGGAUAACCUACCUAUAUGACUGGGAUAACUUCGGGAAACCGGAGCUAAUACCGGAUAAUAUAUUGAACCGCAUGGUUCAAUAGUGAAAGACGGUUUUGCUGUCACUUAUAGAUGGAUCCGCGCCGGAUUAGCUAGUUGGUAAGGUAACGGCCUACCAAGGCAACGAUGCGUAGCCGACCUGAGAGGGUGAUCGGCCACACUGGAACUGAGACACGGUCCAGACUCCUACGGGAGGCAGCAGUAGGGAAUCUUCCGCAAAGGGCGAAAGCCUGACGGAGCAACGCCGCGUGAGUGAUGAAGGUCUUCGGAUCGUAAAACUCUGUUAUUAGGGAAGAACAAAUGUGUAAGUAACUAUGCACGUCUUGACGGUACCUAAUCAGAAAGCCACGGCUAACUACGUG